CACGUAGGGUGCGAGCGUUGUCCGGAAUUAUUGGGCGGAAAGAGCUCGUAGGCGGUGUGUCGCGUCGGCCGUGAAAACCUGCAGCUUAACUGUGGGCUUGCGGUCGAUACGGGCAUCACUGGAGUUCGGCAGGGGAGACUGGAAUUCCUGGUGUAGCGGUGAAAUGCGCAGAUAUCAGGAGGAACACCGGUGGCGAAGGCGGGUCUCUGGGCCGAUACUGACUCUGAGGAGCGAAAGCGUGGGAGCGAACAGG
rnacentral:rRNA from 1 species